rnacentral:lncRNA from 1 species
AGGAGAGGAAGGGAAGCAGAGAAAGGAACAGAGAGACGGACGCGGAGGACGCGGAAGAACAGCUGAUCACAGAGAGAAGAAGAGCAGAGCAGAGAGGGGAGAAGAAGAGAGGCAGAUGAAAAGAGGAACGCGCUUUAUCGCCGACGUCAAGGAGGAUCCAGGGGAGGGGGAAAGGAAAGGAGAAGAGAGAGAAAUGGUGGCGAGACGGAGAGUUGUGUGGGAGAGCCGACGACGGCUGAAGAGGAGAAGAAGACGAGAGGAGACAACUAACUGUGGACAGAGGAGCUGGAAGGACCUAGAGAAAGAGCCGAAGGAAAACUCCCGAUAAACAGAGGCAGAGAGUGACUGCAGGCACCGAGAUGUGUCUGAGCAAGCGCGGAGGAGCAAGGCGACAUGGGGGAGGGAGCUCCUUAGAAAGAAGAGACAAGGAGAAAAAGACAAGAAACAGAGCUCGGGGGGCCAGGGGCCCUGCGACUGGAGACAGGCGAGCCGCAGAAGCCUCUGGAAGCGACAAGGCAAGAAGAAGAGAAGCGACACUGCGAGACAGGGCAGCAAACGAAAGACAAGUCAAGCGACAUUGGAAGAGAGAGAGAGAAGACUGAACUCGCAGCUAAAGAGACUUUCGAUUCAGAGGCCGAGACGGCACUGUUUGCCCGUUUUUGUCGCUUCUGGUUGACGAGACACGGCAUCUAUGCAGUUCUCGCUGAGAAAAACAGGGGAGCUUCUCCUUCCGUCCUUGCUCCAGAAGGAGAAGAAAACAGACAGAAAAAACCGGCUUGCAUCUCCACAAAUUGUUCGAGAGAUCCCAUUUUCAAGCGCUCUCUUCGACGCCCCAAGAACGUUUUCCUCCCGAUUUCGACUCAGGUGUCGAGACACUCUCCGCAGAAGCCGCAUGCGUGACUCCGCGGACUGCAUGCGCAUGACUGAAACAGGCGAGGAAAGUCGCGAAAGACAUUACUCAACCAGCUGUUUCGAGUUGAAGAAAGGACCCCUAGAGAACGUCACUGCUUCAGAACACGGUGCGAAGAACGCUUUCUCGAAAAGAGAAAUGUUCUCGUCGCUUGCCGCACACCCUGUCACGAAGAAACAUGACCUGGAAUGAGCGCCAGACGACGCAGUCAAAAUAUAAAGAAUCCUCUUCUCUCGGCGAAUUUCUCUCUGUCUGCAUCUUUCUGUGUAUGUCCACU